rnacentral:rRNA from 1 species
AGGACGAACGCUGGCGGCGUGCCUAAUACAUGCAAGUCGAACGAGAGCGACCAGUGCUUGCACUGGUCAAUCUAGUGGCGAACGGGUGAGUAACACGUGGGUAACCUGCCCAUCAGAGGGGGAUAACAUUCGGAAACGGAUGCUAAAACCGCAUAGGUCUUCGAACCGCAUGGUUUGAAGAGGAAAAGAGGCGCAAGCUUCUGCUGAUGGAUGGACCCGCGGUGCAUUAGCUAGUUGGUGAGGUAACGGCUCACCAAGGCCUGAUGCAUA